CUUCCAACACAGUGAAUCCUUCUUCAAGCCUUGUGUUGAAAGGAAGGUGCCCCAAGAUCAGUACAGCCUGGACCACUGAGCCACCACAUGGAACUACCCCCUGGAGAGUUACUCAUUCCCACAGCAGUUGGCGUUCUAAAACUUAAGACUUGUGAAAAGCCAGAAACCAGAGACAUAGCGAAGCGGACCUAUUGAAAUGCCAUGAAUUUACUGUAAGAGAGCAUUCUUCACUGGAGAGGUUUAUCGCUGCCAAAGCACUCUUUCACUGGUGAAAGUCGGGGGCAGAAAGGAAGAAAAAGAAAAGUAUGAUUCUAGGAACCACAUUGCAGAAAUGCCAAAGGGAGGGUCAAACAAAAUCUGAAUGGCUAAGGCUUUGUCUUCAUCAUGCAUGUCCGUCCUACCUAAAGGAAACGCUUGGUACUAUUGGUUGUCCUGAAAGAGGAGAAGAUCAAGCAAGCCACUGGCCAUUCUCAUUUUGCUGAUGGAAUUGUUGCCUUCACACCCCCAAAUUCUUAUGUUGAAGCCCUAACUCCCAAUGUGAUGGUAUUUGAAUAUGGGGCCUUUGAGAGAUAAUGAUACCAGGAAGCUACAAAUGGGAUUCCUGGAGAGAGACCUGGACCUCAGCCUGCCUGGGAGCUUGCCCCAGGAUGAGCCACCUGACUGCCAGGUUUUUUGUUUCCUGGUUCAUUGUCUCUCCUCCCUUGUUUUCUUCUUGGCAGAUGUGAAGGUUGAGAGAACAUUAUGAGUGGAUUGCGUGACUUACAUAACAUCUCCUAUGGUUUCUGUGACAGGAUAGGCACUCAGAAUGGGGGGACACUUUAAAAAUUCCACAAAUUUUCUUUCCAUAUAAAUGUAUAAUGAAGAAAGAGCAAUAGAGAGACUCAUACACAAAGAGAACUGUGUACCCAGAGUGUAUCUAAGACGUUUCCUUAGAGCUUAAUAUAGAAUAUCACCUGCCUUUCAAUGAAUUGUUUAUAGGAAAGCUUCCUCUUGAAGUAGACCUUAAAAUUGGUAUUAUGAGGAUAAAGAAAAUAAAAUAAAA